AUUGAACGCUGGCGGCAGGCCUAACACAUGCAAGUCGGACGGUAGCACAGAGAGCUUGCUCUUGGGUGACGAGUGGCGGACGGGUGAGUAAUGUCUGGGGAUCUGCCCGAUAGAGGGGGAUAACCACUGGAAACGGUGGCUAAUACCGCAUAACGUCGCAAGACCAAAGAGGGGGACCUUCGGGCCUCUCACUAUCGGAUGAACCCAGAUGGGAUUAGCUAGUAGGCGGGGUAAUGGCCCACCUAGGCGACGAUCCCUAGCUGGUCUGAGAGGAUGACCAGCCACACUGGAACGGAGACACGGUCCAGACUCCUACGGGAGGCAGCAGUGGGGAAUAUUGCACAAUGGGCGCAAGCCUGAUGCAGCCAUGCCGCGUGUAUGAAGAAGGCCUUCGGGUUGUAAAGUACUCUCAGCGGGGAGGAAGGCGACGCGGUUAAUAACCGCGUCGAUUGACGUUACCCGCAGAAGAAGCACCGGCUAACUCCGUGCCAGCAGCCGCGGUAA
rnacentral:rRNA from 1 species